rnacentral:rRNA from 1 species
AUACGGAGGGGGCUAGCGUUGUUCGGAAUUACUGGGCGUAAAGCGCGUGUAGGCGGAUCGUUAAGUCAGGGGUGAAAGCCCGGGGCUCAACCCCGGAACUGCCCUUGAUACUGGCGAUCUAGAGUCCGGAAGAGGUGGGCGGAAUUCCCGGUGUAGAGGUGAAAUUCGUAGAUAUCGGGAGGAACACCAGUGCCGAAGGCGGCUCACUGGUCCGGCACUGACGCUGAGACGCGAAAGCGUGGGGAGCAAACAGGAUUAGAAACCCUAGUAGUCC